rnacentral:rRNA from 1 species
UAGGGAAUCUUCCACAAUGGGCGCAAGCCUGAUGGAGCAACACCGCGUGAGUGAAGAAGGGUUUCGGCUCGUAAAGCUCUGUUGUUAAAGAAGAACACGUAUGAGAGUAACUGUUCAUACGUUGACGGUAUUUAACCAGAAAGUCACGGCUAAAUACGUGCAG